UGGGGAAUAUUGGACAAUGGGCGCAAGCCUGAUGCAGCCAUGCCGCGUGUAUGAAGAAGGCCUUCGGGUUGUAAAGUACUUUCAGCGGGGAGGAAGGCGAUAAGGUUAAUAACCUUGUCGAUUGACGUUACCCGCAGAAGAAGCACCGGCUAACUCCGUGCCAGCAGCCGCGGUAAUACGGAGGGUGCAAGCGUUAAUCGGAAUUACUGGGCGUAAAGCGCACGCAGGCGGUCUGUCAAGUCGGAUGUGAAAUCCCCGGGCUCAACCUGGGAACUGCAUUCGAAACUGGCAGGCUAGAGUCUUGUAGAGGGGGGUAGAAUUCCAUGUGUAGCGGUGAAAUGCGUAGAGAUCUGGAGGAAUACCGGUGGCGAAGGCGGCCCCCUGGACAAAGACUGACGCUCAGGUGCGAAAGCGUGGGGAGCAAACA
rnacentral:rRNA from 1 species